UGGGGAAUAUUGCACAAUGGGCGAAAGCCUGAUGCAGCGACGCCGCGUGCGGGAUGAAGGCCUUCGGGUUGUAAACCGCUUUUGAUUGGGAGCAAGCGAGAGUGAGUGUACCUUUCGAAUAAGCACCGGCUAACUACGUGCCAGCAGCCGCGGUAAUACGUAGGGUGCAAGCGUUAUCCGGAAUUAUUGGGCGUAAAGAGCUCGUAGGCGGUUUGUCGCGUCUGGUGUGAAAGUCCAUCGCUUAACGGUGGAUCUGCGCCGGGUACGGGCAGGCUAGAGUGCGACAGGGGAGACUGGAAUUCCCGGUGUAACGGUGGAAUGUGUAGAUAUCGGGAAGAACACCAAUGGCGAAGGCAGGUCUCUGGGUCGUCACUGACGCUGAGGAGCGAAAGCGUGGGGAGCGAACAGGAUUAGAUACCCUGGUAGUCCACGCCGUAAACGGUGGAUGCUGGAUGUGGGGCCCCAUUCCACGGGUUCCGUGUCGGAGCUAACGCGUUAAGCAUCCCGCCUGGGAGUACGGCCGCAAGGCUAAAAC
rnacentral:rRNA from 1 species